CAGCCGCCGCGGUAAUACCAGCAGCCCAAGUGGUGGUCGCGAUUAUUGGGCCUAAAGCGCUCGUAGCCGGGCCGGUAAGUCCCUUGUGAAAUCGGACGGCCUAACCGUUCGGCGUGCAAGGGAUACUGUCGGUCUUGAGGCCGGGAGACGUCCGAGGUACUCCGGGGGUAGCGGUGAAAUGUUCUGAUCCUCGGGGGACCACCGGUGGCGAAGGCGUUCGACGAGAACGGGCCUGACGGUGAGGGGCGAAGGCUAGGGGAGCAAACGGGAUUAGAUACCCGAGUAGUCCCUGUCUCUUAUA
rnacentral:rRNA from 1 species